CCACAAAAAUAACCAAUAGACUA
rnacentral:siRNA from 1 species